AGUCCCAAAAAGCAUUCUGUGCGAAGCACUUAACGCCAAAAGUGAACAAAACAACACUUGCUCUAUUAACACGCCACACUGUCUGAAGGCAGUCGGCUUAACGAGAAACAAGAAUAUCCUACGUGUGGCUAAUUUGCGGUUAAGGAAGGCCCCAUGAUAUAUAAAGCCAAAAAAUAAAGCAAAACCGCAGCAGUUCAUUCAAAUUUUUUGUGGCCAAAACAAAUAUUAAGAUAAAAGUCAGUGGGGACUAUAAUUUGAGUUAUUCAAAUGCAAUAAAUCCGCGGAACCAAACGAGUUGCUAAUUUUACGUUAGACGCCCUUUAAUUUCACGCUGCCAUUUGUGGCUUCCGUUUCGUAUAAGUUUGGGUCGAUGAUUUUUAGAAUUUGCAUUUUCAAUUUGAAUAUAAAAAACCGCCGCUGCAGGUUUGCAGCUUUUAAAGUGAUCCGCAAUCUCAUUCCUAGUCAGUCGAAAAAAGACUUUCUGACCUUCCCAUCCAAACGAAAAACCGAAAGUCGACCGCAAAGAUCUAAAAAGAGGGAUUUGAUUUCACAAACACUCAACCACAAAUAUUUAUUCACAUGGCCAGGUGAGAAUUGACAAAUUUCCAUUUCGUCAAUUCGAACAAUAAAGCUAAAACUAUAACGAAACUCCUUAAAUAAAAAAAACCAAGAAAAAACGAGUGGCCAAGGCCACUCAAAACCGCUUUCAAUUAAAGUGGAGCACACUUUUGCUUGUGGUCGGGCGCAAGCUCAUCAUCACGAUCAUUGUCGUCAUAAUCAUUAUAAGCUGAUGCCUCAGGAGUGAAAACGUUGUUGCCCCAGGCGGUGUAUCCAAACGUCCCCAACUCAGCCCGCUUAUGACCCCAGAAACAAAAAGUUCCAUUACCGAAUGACAUUUAUGAAGAAAUUGUGCAUAUUAAAUUGGGAUAUUGAUAAGUGAUAUCAUUGUUCCCAAGAAGUGAACGUCUAAACACAAAGGCAGACGGAUGAACAUUGCUAAAUGGACAGGCUUUCUUCUACCUCUUACAUACUUCUCAACGAAUCACAUAUACACUAUACUAUAAUGUGUUCACAAAAUACCAAAAAUGAUCAAGGUCUACACUCUAACGAUGUGCUGAAGUAGCUGCGCCGCAGAAAGAUAAAGCCUAAUGUGGAAAUACAAAUGUAAUUGCUUGCAGUUAAUUGACCCACAUACGAUUUCUAGCCAAGUCAAUGUCAAGUGUUGCUUCGGCUGACUUACUACAAAAGUUAAUUGCACUGCACGCACAUGCCAAAAGGUAAAAAGAGUCGCGAGCCUCGGCGACAGGCUUCCAAAACCCUGUAUAUCCACAUCACCAGACCUCAGGACCUCAACUUACGACUCUGGCUACGAGGCGCGUGUGUGCAAUAUCAGGUUUCCGCAUCGACUUGCAUAGUGAUUCGAGGAUGUGCGAAAAUAUGAUUUAAAUUAAGGGAUCAUCAGUUUGCAACAGACUAUUUGUAUACCUUCCUUUUAGAAUAUAUAUAUAUUUUUUAUAGAAAUAUGUAAUACUAGUUAAGUCUUCUAAAGGAAAUACAUUUUUACACGUU
ensembl:ncRNA lncRNA:yar yellow-achaete intergenic RNA